rnacentral:rRNA from 1 species
GGUGAGUAACGCGUGAGAAUCUGGCUCUAGGUUCGGGACAACCACUGGAAACGGUGGCUAAUACCGGGUAUGCCGAGAGGUGAAAGGUUAACUGCCUGGAGAUGAGCUCGCGUCUGAUUAGCUAGUUGGUGGUGUAAGGGACUACCAAGGCGACGAUCAGUAGCUGGUCUGAGAGGAUGAUCAGCCACACUGGAACUGAGACACGGUCCAGACUCCUACGGGAGGCAGCAGUGGGGAAUUUUCCGCAAUGGGCGAAAGCCUGACGGAGCAAUACCGCGUGAGGGAGGAAGGCUCUUGGGUUGUAAACCUCUUUUCUCAGGGAAUAAGCAAGUGAAGGUACCUGAGGAAUCAGCAUCGGCUAACUCCGUGCCAGCAGCCGCGGUAAUACGGAGGAUGCAAGCGUUAUCCGGAAUGAUUGGGCGUAAAGCGUCCGUAGGUGGCUGUGUGUGUCUAUUGUUAAAGAGUUUGGCUCAACCAAAUAAGGGCGGUAGAAACUACACAGCUAGAGUGCGUUCGGGGCAGAGGGAAUUCCUGGUGUAGCGGUGAAAUGCGUAGAGAUCAGGAAGAACACCGGUGGCGAAAGCGCUCUGCUAGGCCGCAACUGACACUGAGGGACGAAAGCUAGGGGAGCGAAUGGGAUUAGAUACCCCAGUAGUCCUAGCCGUAAACGAUGGAUACUAGGCGUUGAGAGUAUCGACCCUCUCAGUGCCGUAGCUAACGCGUUAAGUAUCCCGCCUGGGGAGUACGCACGCAAGUGUGAA